rnacentral:rRNA from 1 species
UUUUCCUGCCACCGAAUACAUUAGCAUGGGAUAAUGGAAUAGGACCCUGACCUCCUAUUUUCAGUUGGUUUUGUUUACAGCGAGGUUAUAUCAGGGUAAUGAUUAAUAGGGAUAGUUGGGGGCAUUAAUAUUUAAUUGUCAGAGGUGAAAUUCUUGGAUUUAUGAAAGAUUAACUUCUGCGAAAGCGUUUGCCAAGGAUGUUUUCAUUAAUCAAGAACGAAAGUUAGGGGAUCGAAGACGAUCAGAUACCGUCGUAGUCUUAACCAUAAACGAUGCCGACCAGCGAUUAGGAGACGUUGAAUACAAAACACCGCCGUUAAUCCUUUCGGGGGUUAAUGGUUGGUGAAUGACUCCCCUAG